rnacentral:rRNA from 1 species
AGAGUUUGAUCCUGGCUCAGGACGAACGCUGGCGGCGUGCUUAACACAUGCAAGUCGAACGAGAAUCUGUGGAUCGAGGAUUCGUCCAAGUGAAGCAGAGGGCAGUGGCGGACGGGUGAGUAACGCGUGAGGAACCUGCCUUUCAGAGGGGGACAACAGUUGGAAACGACUGCUAAUACCGCAUGAUACAUUUGGGUGGCAUCAUCUGAAUGUCAAAGAUUUAUCGCUGAAAGAUGGCCUCGCGUCUGAUUAGCUGGUUGGUGAGGUAACGGCCCACCAAGGCGACGAUCAGUAGCCGGACUGAGAGGAUGAACGGCCACAUUGGAACUGAGACACGGUCCAGACUCCUACGGGAGGCAGCAGUGGGGAAUCUUCCGCAAUGGGCGCAAGCCUGACGGAGCAACGCCGCGUGAGUGAAGAAGGGUUUCGACUCGUAAAGCUCUGUUGUCGGGGACGAACGUGGAGACGGCGAAUAGCCGUUUCCAAUGACGGUACCUGACGAGGAAGCCACGGCUAACUACGCGCCAGCAGCCGCGGUAAUACGUAGGUGGCGAGCGUUGUCCGGAAUUAUUGGGCGUAAAGGGAGCGCAGGCGGGAAGGUAAGUCUAUCUUAAAAGUGCGGGGCUCAACCCCGUGAGGGGAUGGAAACUAUCUUUCUUGAGUGCAGGAGAGGAAAGCGGAAUUCCUAGUGUAGCGGUGAAAUGCGUAGAUAUUAGGAGGAACACCAGUGGCGAAGGCGGCUUUCUGGACUGUAACUGACGCUGAGGCUCGAAAGCGUGGGGAGCGAACAGGAUUAGAUACCCUGGUAGUCCACGCCGUAAACGAUGAAUGCUAGGUGUAGGAGGUAUCGACCCCUUCUGUGCCGGAGUUAACGCAAUAAGCAUUCCGCCUGGGGAGUACGGCCGCAAGGCUGAAACUCAAAGGAAUUGACGGGGGCCCGCACAAGCGGUGGAGUAUGUGGUUUAAUUCGACGCAACGCGAAGAACCUUACCAGGGCUUGACAUUGAGUGAAAGGACAAGAGAUUGUCCCCUCUCUUCGGAGGCACGAAAACAGGUGGUGCAUGGCUGUCGUCAGCUCGUGUCGUGAGAUGUUGGGUUAAGUCCCGCAACGAGUGCAACCCCUAUUCUUUGUUGCCAGCACGUAAUGGUGGGAACUCAAAGGAGACUGCCGCGGACAACGCGGAGGAAGGCGGGGAUGACGUCAAGUCAUCAUGCCCCUUAUGUCCUGGGCUACACACGUACUACAAUGGGAUGGACAGAGAGCAGCAAAGCCGCGAGGCCAAGCGAACCCCAUAAACCAUCUCCCAGUUCGGAUUGCAGGCUGCAACCCGCCUGCAUGAAGUUGGAAUCGCUAGUAAUCGCAGGUCAGCAUACUGCGGUGAAUACGUUCCCGGGCCUUGUACACACCGCCCGUCACACCACGGAAGUCAUUCACACCCGAAGCCGGCAGGCUAACCUUUUGGAGGCAGCCGUCUAAGGUGGGGGCGAUGACUGGGGUGAAGUCGUAACAAGGUA